UUGGGAACUACUGUACCUCGUGUGUGUGUUGGCAAUUUAUUGUUGGCAUGCGUGCGUGUGUAUCUCAAUUGGACCUGAUAUCAGACAAGAUUACCCGCUGAACUUAAGCAUAUCAAUAAGCGGAGGAAUCUAGAUGCAUCGCGAGUACCAGUCGAUCGCGAGCUCUUUACCCCC
rnacentral:rRNA from 1 species